GUCACCAUGAAUGACAUCCAGUUCAUAUUAAUCACUGGAAUAUUCAUUCUUGGGAGACGGUGCUUUCGUUCAUUCUCAGAACUAUUUCCCGACUCGACAUUUCCCUGAGACUUUCACCAUUCAAAUGUCACAUUUUCUAUGCCGUACUUCGAUAUUGGAAACUGUUUGAGUAAUCAGUGUUACUAUCUUCAUUCGGGUUUGAAGGCCGUCGUAGUUUUGAACUGCAUCACGACUGGAAGUAUUUCGUUAAGGAAUUCAUGGUGACCGCCCCUUGAAGCAAAUGAAGCAAAUGAAGAUAAUUAUUUUAAGCAUUGAAAA